UAGACGCCGACCAGCUACGAAAAGCGACCACUGACUGGAUCCUCAAACAACGUAAUUAUGGCACAAACGUCUUCGGUUGGGGCGACCACGGGUGAUAACAAAGCUCCCGAGUGGAUAGGGGGAUACCCUAAAACCCAGAGCCACAGCUCUAAGUCACAAAAUAUUUGACCAAUAAUGAUCCGGCUUUAUGCCGACCAACGGACCAAGUUACCCU
rnacentral:rRNA from 1 species